GGGGUCAAUGUGGGGUAGGGGGCUAUGAGACCCCCAAGUGUGGGGUCUAUGGGGUCAAUGUGGGGUAGGGAGCUACAGGACCCCCAAGUGUGGGGUUUUGUGGGGCUGAAUGUGGGGUAGGGGGCUAUGGGACCCCCAAGUGUGGGGUUUUGUGGGGUCAAUGUGGGGUAGGGGGCUACAGGAUCCCAAUUGCAGGGUUUGUGGGGUCGAUGUGGGGCAGGGGGCCAUGGGACCCCCAAGUGUGGGGUUUGGGGUGGUCGAUGUGGGGCAGGGGGCCACGGGACCCCCAAGUGUGGGGCUGUGGGAUGCUCCAUACCUUCUUGUAGGGCACGCAGGGGUUCAUCGCUGCCUCCGGCCGCUUCCAAAGCUGCCCCCAAAAGACCCCAAAUAGUUUUGGGGCCGCCCCACAGCGCACCCCAAACUGCACCCCGCACCCAACCCCACGCUGACUCACGGGGCCUCACGUGCCCCACAGACGGGGAGGGGAAGUGGGACGGCCCCAAAAUGGGAGGGUUUCCCUGGGGGUGUGGGGCAGGAUGGGGUUAUAGGGACUGGGGUGGGAUUGGGGGCGGGAGCGGGGGGUGUUUGGGGCGGAUUUUGGGAUGUUUGGGUGUUUUGGGGGCAGAUUUGGGGAUGUUUGGGGGGGAUUUGGGGUCAGGGAUGGGAUUGGGGUCAGGAUUUGGGGAUGUUUGGGGCAGAUUUGGGAUAUUUGGGUGUUUUGGGGUCUGGAUUGGGGGGAUGUUUGGGACGGAUUUGGGAUAUUUGGGUGUUUUGGGGUCAGGAUUGGGGGAUGUUUGGGGAUAUUUGGGGUAGAUUUGGGGACAGGGAUGGGGUUGGAGUCGGGAUUUGGGGAUAUUUGGGGCGGAUUUGGGAUAUUUGGCUGUUUUAGGGGCAGAUUUGGGGAUGUUUGGGGUGGAUUUGGGGUCAGGGAUGGGGUUGGAGUCGGGAUUUGGGGAUAUUUGGGAUGGAUUUGGGAUAUUUGGGUGUUUUUGGGGCAGAUUUGGGAAUGUUUGGGGUGGAUUUGGGGUCAGGGAUGGGAUUGGGGUCGGGAUUUGGGGACAUUUGGGGUGGAUUUGGGGUCAGGUAUGGGACUGAGGUCGGAAUUUGGGGUCAUUUGGGGCCAUUUGGGUGUUUUGGGGUCAGGAUUUGGGGCCAUUUGGGGCGGAUUUGGGGCCAUUUGGGGGGGAUUUGGGGCCAUUUUGGGGACAAUGUGGGGCUCCAACCACGUCCAGCCCGAGAUGUGGCGGAUUUGGGGCAUUUUGGGGCAUUUCGGGCGGAUUUCGGGCGGAUUUCGGGCGGAUUUCGGGCGGAUUUCGGGCGGAUUUCGGCCACUUUCGACCCUUUUCCCCCCCGCCCCCCCAGCCGUACCGGAGGUCCCGNNNNNNNNNNNNNNNNGGCGGAUCCGGGGGGCGGCGCCCGCCGCCGCGCUGCGCUCUAUGAUCACCGCUCCUGUUUGUGCCGGGGCGCGGAGUUAUGACGUCACGUCCGGCUCCCCGCGGUCAGCACUUCCGGUUGGGGCCUGGACGGGAGGGUCCGCGAGGCGACGCGAUGGGGCGGGGGAGGUGUGUGGGGAAAUGGGGCGGGGGGAGACGGAGGGGGCUGUGGGGCAG
ensembl:lncRNA